rnacentral:tRNA from 1 species
UAUAAUUUAAACUAAAUUAAGUUGUAGGGCUCAUGAUCCUAAUAUAUUUCAUUUGAAAUAAUUAUAU